rnacentral:lncRNA from 1 species
GGAGAGAGAAAGAGAGGGGAGGAGAGCAAGUGUGAGCACUAUCGGGUGGAUUCUAAUAGCUCUGAUAAUCUCAUCUGGAGAAGGUCAUCAGAGGCAGCAAGUUUGAGAAACUGUCACAGCUAGGAGGCCACCAAGGAGACAUGAUGACUAAAUUAACUGGUGUCUUAGAAGGGAUCCUGGGACAGAAAAUGGAAUUAGUCUCCAUCAAAGGAAAUCUGAAUGAACUGUGAAUUCUAGUUAGUAAACAUGUAUCAGAGUUUGCAUCAUUCAUUAUCAAAAAUUUGGACUGUUCACCAAGGCCCAAGUCCGAAGUCUCAGUACUCACUCAGGAGGUGAAGACAGGAAGAUCAGGUGUUCAACUCCAUCCUCAACUAUGUAGUGAGUUCAAAGACAAUCUGUGCUAUAUGAGACAAAACAAAACUUGUAACAAAUGUACCAUCCUAACAACAGGAAAUUCUUAAUAAGGAUCUGUGUGUGUGUGUGUGUGUGUGUGUGUGUGUGUGUGUAGUGUAGGCAGUAGAUACAAAUAUUCUAUGCUGACUGCUCAUUUUUUUUCUAUGUAUCUAAAGCUGUUCUAAAAGUAAAGGCAAGCCUGGUAGAAAAGCCUGGGAUUCCAGCUGUGCCAGGGCUCUUGGGAUUGCAAGGAAGGCAGGUGAGGGUGGAGGGUCGCUCUCCUCCUCAAACCAACCGCACAAGGAGCUGGGCUACUUGCUCUGUGCCCUGGGCUUCCUGCAUCCCUACUGCUCCAAGGCAGCCAGCCUACAGGGGUUUCUGAGGCCAAUGGUGCUAGUGGCUGGGGCUACUAGUCAGUGUGACCCCUCAUCAUUAAAGAUCUAGAGACCCCUACACUCUUGGGGUGUCCUGUUUCUGCCAAGUAGCCUACCCUGACAGCUCCCACCUCCAGUCUUCUGGACAGGGAAGUAAUCCCUUAGGGGAUUACAGGAUUUCAUUCCUCUGUCACUCCUCCAGUCUGGCUUGUUUCCACACGGUAGAAAUUGAAGUUCUUACUGUAGGAAGAUGCCAGGGUGACUCCUGUCUUCUGGUUUGCAGCAUCAUGGUACUGGGCAAAUGGGAGUUGCAAGGUUGUAGUGGGAGUGCAGACUGCUGUGACAACUUCUAAAGAUUGAUUUAUGUUGUUGUUAUCUGUAAUGUAUUUGUUAUAUGUAUGUGUGAGGACUUGCAUAUAUGUUAAGUGUCCCAUAUGCAUGCCUGGUUCCUGUAGAGGGCAGAAGGGGGCUUUUGAUGCCCCAGAAUUAGAGUUACAUGGGAAGUUGUAAGCCUCCACGUGGGUGCUGGGAACUGAACCCUGGUCUUUGAAAUAGCAGCAAGUGCUCUUAACUGCUGAGCCAUCCCUCCAGUCCCUCAAUAACAACUUUCAUGUUUUUUUUUCCCCUGAAGGCUUGUUGUCCUUGUUGCUCUUGUGACUGCUUUCCUCCAUAUUUAUUUAUUUAUUGGUUUUUUAUAAACAGGGCCUCAUUUAUCUCAACUACAACCUGAACUCACAAUUUAGCUGAGGGUGGUCUUGAACUUCUGAUCCUUGUGCUGGGACUUCAGAUGUGCACCACCAUGCCUGCCUCUGGCUCUUGCUCUUGCUCUUCCUGUUGUCUAUCUACUAAGCCAGAGUUCUUGAAACUAGAAAUGAAGGAGGUCCCUGAGCCUGGCAGAGCAACGGCUCCUUAAAGAUGUCCCAGGAAUGUUGUAGAAAGAUAAAUCACCAGUCACAGUCACCGUCUUUCGGCAAUGUGAAAGAGAGAUUGCUGAUUUCCUUCUACUGUCCCACAAGUGUCACAGAAGCUUAUAGAAAGAGGCUUAUUGUUUAUGGGACCAAAAGGGUGUCAAGUGCCUUGAGGCAAGGAGAAGAGGGUUCAAGGGACAAUCUCUAAAUUCUAAGUGUGCCUCUGCUCACAGGAGCAUGUCUGUAACAUGACACCUGGGUAUCUGCACAGAUUGAGUAUUGCAUAAAUCAAGGGCACUUGGAAAUACAAGGAGCUCUAUAAUGAGGAUGAGUUUCACAUGCAUAUUUAUAGUCUUCCGUUAGCAAGAGAGGCCACCUGUGGGAUCUGAUAUGUAUUUAUCCUUGUCUUGUGAAAUCAGUAGGAAAGAGGCAACACACACACACACACACACACACACACACACACACACACACACACACACACACACACACACACUCUACUGGUUUUUUUCUUUGAGACAAAAUUUCAAGUAGCCCAGGCUGGCCUCCAGCUCCCUAUGUAGCUGAGGAUGACCUUGAGCUCCUGACUCUCCUGUGUCUACUUCCUGAGUGCUGAGAUAACAGGCAUUUGCCACCAUGCCUGGUUUUAUUUGGGAAUGAACGCAGGUUCUUCCGCACAAUGGGCAAACAUUCUAUCAGCUGAGCUACAUCCUCAGCCCUGAUAUUUUUUGCUGGCACCUCAAAAUUUGAGUGUCUAGGCUACAGACCAUUGAUUAUUAUGGCCUCUCACAUUGCCAACCCCGAUAGCUUUGUUUUCUGCUCUGUCUGCCCAUUUUCUACAACUUUCCAAAUUCUCCUGCUGGCUUCCUCUGUUAAUCCCAAUAUCUCAUGCCCUUCCCCACAUGUGCCCAUUUGUUCUUCCACUUCUGCCCCAGGGGUUCCUAGGGGAAGCUCCUCCUGUUCUGCCACACUGAGGCAUGCUUGUAUCUUCCUAUCUCUGUCCCCCAGCACUGAGAUGACAGGAAUGCACUGCCUCUGUCUGCUUUUAUCUGUGCCGUGGGAUUGAACAUAACUUCUCAUGAUUAUGUGGCAAGCAUUUCCCUCACCACUACCACCGCUUAAAAAAAUUAAAUUAUGCAUAGAUGUAGAUGUGUGUGUCUGUGUGUUCUAUGCAUGUGAGUGCUGGUGCCUUCAGGGGCCGGAGCCAUCAGGUCCCCCUGGAGCAGGCAUGACAGGAGGUUAUAAGCUCCCUGAUAUGAAUGUCUGGAACCAAUUUUGGUUCCUCUGCAAGAACUCUGUGUGCUCUUAACCAUUGAGCCAUCUCUCUAAUCCCCCUAUCACUUAGUUUUCGAGGAGGGUUUUACUCUGUAGCUCAGAAUGGCCUUGAACCCAUGGCAGUCCUCCCUAUGCUUCUCUCCUGGCUUCUCCCAGCUCCUGGUGGCACCAGGUAGCCUUUUGUGUGUCUUCAUCCCUUGAGUGUUUUUCUCACCCUUCACAUGGCCUUUACAUGUGAUCCUUCCCAUGGGGUGUAGGAUUAUUAGAUAUUGAGGAUAUCUCACUGUGAAAUCCUUAAUUUAAGGUCUGCUAAUUUUUUUUUUUUUUUUUGAAACAGGGUUUCUCUAUGUAGCCCUGGCUGUCCUGGAACUCUCUACGUAGACCAGGCUGGCUUUGAACUCACUGAGAUCCACCUGCCUCUGCCUCCCAAGUCCUGGGAUUAAAGUUUUCUGUCUGCAUGUAUCCCUGCAAUCCAGAAGAGGGCACCAGAUCUCAUUACAGAUGGUUGGGAGCCACCAUGUGGUUGCUGGGAAUUGAACUCAGGACCUCUGGAAGAAUGGGCAAUGCUCUUAACCCCUGAGCCAUCUCUCCAGCCCCUGUUAUUAUUUUUUUACAAAUCAGGAGCCUCUGUGAGCUGAGACAGCUGAGUGAAUACCUGCCUAUAGAGGUCACCCCUCAACCUCUCCACCUCUACAAGCUGGAGUUCCCUGGGGCCCAGGCACCUUCUUGACCUGGGAUCUUCCAGGACGGCUGGACAUUCACACCCCGCCCCAACCCUGCAGUCAUCAGAUCAUUCUUGGCUUUUGGGCAUCUCAACUGGAGAUGCAGGCCUGCCCUCCCCUGCCCUGCUCUGUCCUUUCCACCCCUCCCCUCCCCUCUCCCCUCCCCUCUCCUUCUUUGUCCUGCACUGCAAGUUUCCCAGCUCCUCAACCUCCCUUUCAUGAACUAACUGCUAGGCUGGAAACCUGGGUACUUGGUUCUCACUGUUGAUGUGGGAGGGAGGGAGGAGGGUGACCCCCAGAGGACAUUUAGCAAAGUCUAGAGACACUUUUUAUUGUCAUAACUGAGUGACGGAAGUCUGCAUUAUUACUCUUUAGUGAGUGAAGGCUAGGGAUGUUGCUAAACAGCCCAUUAUGAACACGAUAACCCUAGAAUAAAGGAGUCCCUUGAUGAAGAUGACAACAGUGUGGUGGCUGAGUGACUCCGCUCUACCUCCAUGCCGCUCCUAAACUUCAGGAUGAAGACCCAAUUCUCAAGAAACUUCUCCCCAAGCUCUGCCUCUCCAGGGGCAGCGGUUCUGGGUUCUGGUGACAUUCUGCCAGGGAGCAUCCUGGCAUGGUGGCGAAGGGGGAAGUAGAGGGGGCUAAAGAGGAGCCUGCUUUGUCAUCAUCCCCUCCCAGGGAACUCGGCGGCUCUCAUUGGCUUGUGGGGGUUAAUGAAGGACCAGCUUGGGCUCUUAGGGAGUCUUGGCAAGGGUCCUUAUCUACCCAUCUCACUGGGAAGUUCCAGUCAGAGUUGAGAGGAAGCAUACCCGCCAGUCAACACCAGAGAUCCCUUACUUGUCUGAGUCCAUUCUCCUCUGGGUGUGAAAACUCGGCUGAGGCAGAAGCUCUUUCAGUUUGUUCACCUGUGUCCCAGGUACCUCAACAUAAUUACUCUGUUGCAAAACAAUGACAUUCUGUUGACAGUGAAUGAAGAGUCUGCCUUCUUUAGAGAACAGGUGGAUUUGCAGCUGGCAAGGAUACCGGCUGGGGAUGUGACUCGGUUGGUUAGGUGCUUGCUUGGCACACACAAGACUCUGCAUUUAAUCCCAAGCUCUGCAUAAACCAGGUGUAGGGGCGAAGGCCUGAAACUUCAGCACUCAGAAGUGAAUGUAAGAGGACAAGAGUUCAAGCACACCCUCUGCUACAUACAGAGUUUGAGGCCAGGCCAGGAUACAGCAUCUUAAAAAUGUACCUGUGAUUUUUUUUUUCAAGGUCUUUGCUAUAUUUCUCAUUUUUUUCCCCCAGGAUAACAUAGAUGGCCUUGAACUUGGGAAUCUGUCUGCCUUAGUUUGCUAAGUAGCUGGGAUUUCAGGUGGACAACACACCAUGGUUUUUGUUUCUUCUAUCAAGCUGAGGAUCAAAGGCAGGUGCGCUCUGCCACCAAGCGACAUCCUGACCCCCAUCUGUAAUCCUUUCAAAGAAAGAAAAGAGUUUGCUUGGAUCAAAGAGCAAAAAUGAAUUUUGUCAAGUGGAUGUGCAGGAGGCGCUCCUCUACACUACGGGGAGAAGAGUUGGCAAGAAGAAAGGACCUUGGAACGAGAGCCUGUACAGUUGGUGACUGGCCUAUGGUGGUGCACCCAUUCACAUGUGUGGGCAUUCUCACACACAGACAUACAGACAGACAUGUGGAAGUGUGCCCCCCCAAUCAAUGGGCAUGUGGGAGCCACUAGUGAGAAAGAGCCCAUCUCACACUGGUGCAGGAUAGGAGGCCUAGGCUGUCUCUCCUUUCACAUACCAAAUGCCCCCAGGUAACAGCCACACAAGGGUAGUUAGUUGUAUUGCCGCUGGGAGUCCUGUGUGGGACACUUAGGAAAUAAAGAUUAAUGAAACUGG